UUCUUUCUUUCUUCUUUUUUUUUUUUUUUGAAAAAUAACGACGUCUCUGAGGCGCGAAAUCUGACAGCGAGAGGAACGGCCGGAUACAGGAGACGGGAAGAAACAAGCCGAUUAUGUUCGCGUUAAUUAAGUGGUUGGAAGAUGUAAAAUUCUCAAUUCUGCCAACUGAACAUAUACGAGAUUUUAAUGAGGAUGAAUAAUUAGCCGGCAUGGAGGAAACGGACCUUUAUUUCGUGGAGUGGCGACAAGAAGCCAAGGCGGGUGGCCAGUCUAAGAAGCCUCCAUCAUCAAGCUAGCAGAAAUCCUACCUCUCCUUCUGGCUACAGAGUACUUACCAAGCCCAUGAAAUCGAAUGCAGAUCUUCCUAAUGUGAGAUUUACAUAAAUAUGUCAAAGUCUCAACCUCAUGCUGCCCUCCCCCAUCCUCCUAAACCUGUGGAUACAAAUGCAGAUUUCCUUAAUGUAAGUUGUGCAUUUUAAUUACAUCAUGUUAUUUUUAUUAUUAUUUAUUUAUUUAUUUUAUUUUACAUUCAAAUAUUUCAAGCUUCUUGGUUAAAGAAGCUUGAUUGCUAGUAGGUAAAGAAUAGUUCACCUAUAAUUCAUAUUCCCAAUUAAUUUCUCACCUCUGAUUGAAUGCCUUUGUUUGUUUUCCUUUUGACUAUAACAAAACAUUUUUGCUGGAUAUAUAUGGUGAAUUUAUAUGCAUAGAUACAGUCGUAGUGCUUGACACAUGCAAACAGCAGUAGAUGUACUAAAAAGGAAAUAAUUACAAUCAUGAUGUUGAUUGCUGAUGUCAGUAUAUAUAUUUUAGAGGAAUGUUUUGUUUUUCACCCAAAAUGAACUAUAUUGCUUCAGAAGAGAUUUAUUACCCUAUAUAAACAGUAUCUAUAUAUUGUUCUGUUUUUUGUUUGUUUUUGUUAUUUUCAGGUUCAAUGGUGCGUGUUCUUCUAAUGGCCGCCUUCCCACUGGAGGUUUUGAUCCACAGCAAUUUAAAAGGUAAUCAGCUUUGAAAGUCAGUUCAAAUGGUUAGCUAAUAGUACUUUAAAAAGCCUACAACUCUGUCACCAGUUUCUUUACCAAAAAUUACCCAUAAAAGUAUCGCUCAAUAGCAUAUAUUGUAGUUCAAAUGUUUAGUUGUACAAAUAUCAAAUUUUUGGAAAUCUAAAACUAGUCAAACACUCAAAUGUUCAUGCUUUUUAUAGGAGGACAGAGCAAAACGGACAUCGGCGCAGAGUGAAGAACUGCCCUUGAUAAGGACACUAUGACAGCCAUAUAUAGUAAGUGAAGACUUUCUGUGUAUCUAAAAUUGCAUACAGCACAAGUAACUUACUUUGCAACCAUUAAAAUAGGUUGUAAAGUAAGUUACCAAUACAAAUAGGUGAUGAUGCAUUGUAGUGGUUGGUCUCAGACAAAGAAGGUCAACAGAUUUAUGAAUGCUGGAAGGUAAGGAGAGACGACCAAAAGGGGUGUUAGCAUUACUGUAAUGUGAACUGGAUAGACUUCCCAUCUAGGAAAAAAAAGAGGUAAAAUUAUGCGUAAAAUAUAUCUGUAUUAAUAUCUGUAUCUAUAUAAACAGAAAUAUCUGUUUGCUAAAUGAAGCCAGCUAACAUAAAUCACAUUUUUAUUUUAACUCUGAUAAAAGUAAUAGAACUGUGACUUUUGUUUGUUACAGUGGCGGUAAGGAAGGGGUUUCCCAGCGUGUCCAGAAGGGCUUUGAGGAUUGCCGUGAAAGCUGGGGGAACUGAGACUGCUGGAAAAGGAAAAGAAAUUACAUUUUAAGUAUGCUGACUUAUGUUCAU